rnacentral:rRNA from 1 species
GGGAUUCCCCCAGUAACUGCGAGUGAAGCGGGAAAAGCUCAAAUUUAAAAUCUGGCGGUCAUGCCGUCCGAGUUGUAAUCUGGAGAAGCGUUUUCCGUGUUGGACCGUGUACAAGUCUCUUGGAACAGAGCGUCAUAGAGGGUGAGAAUCCCGUCUUUGACACGGACUACCAAUGCUUUGUGAUACGCUCUCAAAGAGUCGAGUUGUUUGGGAAUGCAGCUCAAAAUGGGUGGUAAAUGCCAUCUAAAGCUAAAUAUUGGCGAGAGACCGAUAGCGAACAAGUACCGUGAGGGAAAGAUGAAAAGCACUUUGGAAAGAGAGUUAAACAGUACGUGAAAUUGUUGAAAGGGAAACGCUUGAAGUCAGUCGCGUUGUCUGGGACUCAGCCUUGCUUCUGCAUGGUGUAUUUCCUGGUUAACGGGCCAACAUCGAUUUUGGUCGGUGGAUAAAGUCAAGAGGAAUGUGGCACCUUCGGGUGUGUUAUAGCCUCUUGUCGGAUGCAUCGACUGGGAUCGAGGAUCGCAGCACGCCUUUUUGGCCGGGGUUCGCCCACGUAACGUGCUUAGGAUGUUGGCAUAAUGGCUUUAAUCGACCCGUCUUGAAACACGGACCAAGGAGUCUAACAUGCCCGCGAGUGUUAGGGUGGAAAACCCUUGCGCGUAAUGAAAGUGAAAGUUGGGACCUCUGUCAUGGGGGGCACCGACGCCCGGCCUUGAACUUCUGUGACGGCGCCGCGGUAGAGCGUGUAUGUUGGGACCCGAAAGAUGGUGAACUAUGCCUGAAUAGGGCGAAGCCAGAGGAAACUCUGGUGGAGGCUCGUAGCGAUUCUGACGUGCAAAUCGAUCGUCAAAUUUGGGUAUAGGGGCGAAAGACUA